GCAGGAGCCACCUGUCACCGGAUGGACUACUAUCUCAAACAAGACAGAACGGGAUGCAUUUGGCCACUGAGGAGCGCUCCCGAGAUUGUGCCGGGGAUCGCUGAAAGGACAAGACGUGUGGGCAGAAGAGACCUGAGCUGGCGCCCCAUGGACUUUUUGCAUUCCCAGAUGAGGAUGCGA